GUCGUCAGCUCGUGUCGUGAGAUGUUCGGUUAAGUCCGCUAACGAGCGCAACCCUCGUCGUAUGUUAUAUGUGUCAUACGAGACUGCCGGUAAAAAGACCGGAGGAAGGUGAGGAUGAUGUCAAGUCAGCAUGACCUUUAUAUCCAGGGCUACACACACGCUACAAUGGUCUGUACAAUGGGUAGCCAAGCCGCGAGGCGGAGCCAAUCCUGAAAGCAGGCCUCAGUUCAGAUUGCAGUCUGCAACUCGACUGCAUGAAGCCGGAGUUGCUAGUAACCGCAGGUCAGCAAUACUGCGGUGAAUACGUUCCCGGGUCUU
rnacentral:rRNA from 1 species